UACGGAGGGUGCGAGCGUUAAUCGGAAUUACUGGGCGUAAAGCGUGCGUAGGCGGUUGGUUAAGUCAGAUGUGAAAGCCCCGGGCUUAACCUGGGAACGGCAUUUGAAACUGAUCGACUAGAGUUGGGUAGAGGGGAGUGGAAUUUCAGGUGUAGCGGUGAAAUGCGUAGAUAUCUGAAGGAACACCAGUGGCGAAGGCGGCUCCCUGGACCCAAACUGACGCUGAGGCACGAAAGCGUGGGUAGCAAACAGG
rnacentral:rRNA from 1 species